rnacentral:rRNA from 1 species
AUGAACGCUUGGCGGGGUGGCCUUAAGCAUGCAAGUCGAACGGCCCGCAAGGGCAGUGGCAGACGGGUGAGUAACACGUAGGAAUCUACCUCAAAAUGCGGGGGCAUAGCCAACCGAAAGGCUGGGUAAUACCGCAUGUGAGUCGCAAGAUUAAAGCAGCAAUGCGUUUUGAGAGGGAGCCUGCGUCCUAUCAGCUAGUUGGUGAGGGUAAUAGCUACCAGGCGAUGACCGGGUAGCCGAUGUGAGAGCGGAUGAUCGGCCACAAGGUUACUGAGACGCGGAACCUACACCUACGGGUGGCAGCAACAGGGAAUCUGCGCAAUGGCGACAGCCCUGACGCAGCGCCACCGCUGUGGCGAUGAAGCCCUUAGGGGUGUAAACCACUGUGGCGAGGGAUGAAAUUAAUGACAGUACCUCGCUAGAAAGCACAUUGGCUAACCACGUGCCAGAAGCCUCGGUAAUACGUGGAGUGCGAGCGCUUAUCGGAUUUACUGGGCGUAAAGCGCUGCCGCAGGUGAUCUUGUAAGUCUUUUCUGUCCAAGCCCGGAGCUGUAACUUCGGAUCGGCAGGGAAUACUACAAGAAUUGAGUCUGUUCGGGGAACUUGGAAUUCUCGGUGGAGGGGUGAAAUCCGUAGAUAUCGAGAGGAAACGCCAAGCGCGAAGGCAGGGUUCUAGAACACGACUGACACUCAUGGACGAAGCUAGGGGAGGCAAAAGGGAUUAGAGACCCCUGUAGUCCUAGCCGUAAACAUUGGAUGCUAGUUGCUUCACUUCGGUGGAGUGACGUAACGCCUAACGCGUUAAGGCAUCCCGCCUGGGAAGUACGACCGCAAGGUUAAAACUCAAAGGAAUUGACGGGGGGAGCGCCAAACCGGUGGAGCAUGUUGUUUAAUUCGAUACGAAGGCGAAAAACCUUACCAAGAUUUGACAUGUAACUGGCACGGUCAUGGAAACAUGGCCUUCUUCGAGAGUGUUACACAGGUGAUGCAUGGCUGUCGUCAGCUCGUGUCGUGAGACGUCCGCUUAAGUGCGGUAACGAGCGCAACCCUUAUCCCGCGUAUAUUUUCACGGGAGACUGCCCCUGUUCUACAAGGGAGGAAGGAGAGGACCGACGUAAGUCAGCACGUCCCUUACAUCUUGGGCCACAAACAUCCUACAAUGGAGCCGACAACAGGUCGCGACGGGGUAACCCUGAGCCAAUCCUGCAAACGGCCCCUCAGUUCAGAUUGAGGGGCUGCAAUUCGCCCUCAUGCAAGUCGGAAUCGGUAGUAAUCGCAAAUCAGCAGGUUGCGGUGAAUACGUUCUCGCUCCUUGUACACACUGCCCGUCGAAGCCAGCAAAGUUGCAGCGCCCGAAGUGGCUGACUCUAGACCUCGCAAGGAGGGGAGCUCUACUACCUGCGAGGUCAGCGAUGAGGACU